rnacentral:rRNA from 1 species
ACGCUCGACACCUACUGGAGGCAGCAGUGGGGAAUAUUGCACAAUGGGGGAAACCCUGAUGCAGCAACGCCGCGUGAAGGAAGACGGUUUUCGGAUUGUAAACUUCUGUUCUUAGUGAAGAUAGUGACGGUAGCUAAGGAGCAAGCCACGGCUAACUACGUGUCCAGCAGCCGCGGUAAUCUGAGGCGGGCUGGCAAGGC